CUUCAAAGAUGGCGUGGCUGUUGUUCGUCGCCGCGCUCUCGCUGAGUCUCGAGGCGUCCCAGGCGAGUGACAUCUCUCAGCAGCCCGUUUCGCUCAGCGUCAGCGAGGGCAAAACGGCCGCGAUUGCCUGUCUCCAGCAGGGGACGGUCCGGAGUUACGUGCUUUGGUACCGACAGUCGCCCGCCGACGGUUUCGCGCUGAUCGGGUCUGUCUACCGAAACAACGAGCCCCAGUACGAGGACGGUUUCCGGAGCGGGUUCGCCAUCACCUCCGCGAAGGACAAUAAAGAGUCCUCCCUGGAGAUCGAGAGCGUUGGCGAGAAGGACGCGGCGAUGUACUUCUGCGCUGCCAAAGAUUCGGCACGGCGUUGAGGAGCGAAUCAUUGCCUGAGCAAA